rnacentral:rRNA from 1 species
UCUUAGCACAUGCCUUAAUACGGUGAAGCCGCGAAUAGCUCAUUACAACAGCCAUCGUUUAUUAGAAUAUCGUUAUCUUACUUGGAUAACUGUGGCAAUUCUAGAGCUAAUACAUGCAAUAAAGCUCCGCCCGAAAGGAACGAGCGCAUUUAUUAGAAUCAAAACCGAUCGAGUUUCGGCUCGUAAUUUGGUGAAUCUGAAUAACUUUGCCAAUCGCACAGAGUACUGGCGAUGUAUCUUUCAAGUGUCUGCCUUAUCAACUUUCGAUGGUACGCUAUACGCCUACCAUGGUAGUAACGGGUAACGGAGAAUAAGGGUUCGACUCCGGAGAGGGAGCCUGAGAAACGGCUACCACAUCCAAGGAAGGCAGCAGGCGCGCAAAUUACCCACUUCCAGAACGGAGAGGUAGUGACGAAAAAUAACGAGACAGUCCUCUUCGAGGUCUGUCAUCGGAAUGGGUACAAUUUAAAUCCU